rnacentral:rRNA from 1 species
GACGAACGCUGGCGGCGCGCCUAACACAUGCAAGUCGAACGAGCGAGAGAGAGUUUACUUUUUCGAGCGAGUGGCGAACGGGUGAGUAACGCGUGAGGAACCUGCCUCAAAGAGGGGGACAACAGUUGGAAACGACUGCUAAUACCGCAUAAGCCCACGGCUCGGCAUCGAGCAGAGGGAAAAGGAGCAAUCCGCUUUGAGAUGGCCUCGCGUCCGAUUAGCUGGUUGGUGAGGUAACGGCCCACCAAGGCGACGAUCGGUAGCCGGACUGAGAGGUUGAACGGCCACAUUGGGACUGAGACACGGCCCAGACUCCUACGGAGGCAGCAGUGGGGAAUAUUGCACAAUGGGGGAAACCCUGAUGCAGCGACGCCGCGUGGAGGAAGAAGGGUCUUCGGAUUGUAAACUCCUGUUGUUGAGGAAGAUAAUGACGGUACUCAACAAGGAAGUGAACGGCUAACUACGUG